GUCGAUUUUUGGUCUGUUGAAUAAGACCAAGUGUAGUAUCUGUUCCUAUCAGUUUACCAUCCGAUACGUCCGCUAUUCGAGAACAUAUUAAUUGGAUUUUUUCGCAACGGGAGCCGUUUUUGAAGCUCUCAUCCGUCGCCCUAGGUGUCUGACUGAUUUCUGUUUCUGCUGGUUCCAGGCAUCCCACAUA